rnacentral:lncRNA from 1 species
AUUCUUCAAUGGGUUAGCACGGGGCGCACGCACACACGCGCGCGCACACACACCCCGCCGAGGUACCCAAUCAAUGCACAAAUCUUCGGGGUCCCUUUAACCUCUGCGGAUGACUCCGGGAGUUAAUUAUGAAGCCUAUUUCGGCGCGGCAUAAAUAUGCAUUAAGCCCCCCAGCCCCGGGGCCGGCGUGCCCGGCCCACCCCGCCCUCCGCGCCCCCCGACGGCCGCGGUCAGCCGGCAUUCCGGAGCAGCGCGUCGGAGCUGCAACUUCGCGCCUAAGCGCCCGCACCUCGCAGCCCGGCGGGCGGGAGACAAAAGCUGCGGCGCCGCCGCCGGAGGCCGCGCGGCCAAGGAAUUAAUGGAGAAUUCAGAGAAAUCAGAGCUUCUACCCCACCACCCUCUGUCAUUGCACUGCCCUGGCACAUGGGCACAACGUCUUCUGAGAAGGGACACAAACUGCUCAGACAUGCGGCAUCCUCCCUGUAGUCCUCCUUUCCUGGCCAGUUGGAGAACGAUCUCUGCCUUUCAGUUCUGAACAGCUUCCAGCAUGCCCCAUAGGGAACAUUUUGGAUUUGAAUGAAGAGCAUAAAAAUGUGGUCAGCAUAUUGGCCUUGGUAUUUGAUUUUCUUUUUUCCAUGCAACCGGCCCCAGGAGGUGACUGACAAGUUGGGCCAAGUGCACUGAAAGCCCUGUCUCGGCUGGCCCAUAACUCCUGAGCUACACAGACCCCUAAGGACCCCGUGAGCCAGCAGAGAGCCAUAAAUCCAGCAAGCUGGAGGCUGGGAGCUCACUGAUUGCACUGGGGAAAAGCAGCCUGAUCUGAUUGCUAUGUGAGCUGGAGAGAGAAAAGGUGGUAACUGGAGUGCUGGAAAUACAACGACUUUGGAACAAAAUGAAGCAACAGAGGAAUGGCAGGAGGGACUGUGGUUUUCUCAUCUGUACAACAAAGGGGCUGGAUUGGACUGCCUCUGAAGCCCUUUCAUCACAGAAAUUCUGUGUUUCUCUUUGUAACUAAGGUCAAACAGAUGUGGGAGGGUGUCAGGAUGGGAAAGCAAGAUCGGGGGACCCAGAGAAGCCAGAAGAGGCAACGAGGAGGCCAACAUAUUUACUGCCCAAUUACUAUCACAUUUUUUGGUGUGUGUGUGAGACAGGGUCUCACUCUGUCUCCCAGACUGGAGUGAAGUGGUGUGAUCUCGGCUCACUGCAAACUCCGCCUCCCAGGUUCAAGCGAUGCUCAUACCUCAGCCUCCUGAGUAGCUGGGAUUACAGGCACAUGCCACCACACCUGGCUAUUUUUUUAUUUUUAGUAGAGAUGGGGUUUCACCAUGUUGGCCAGGCCGGUCUCGAACUCCUGGCCUUAAGCCACUCACCUGCUCAGCCUCCCAAAGUGCUGGGAUUACAGGUGUGAGCCACUGCACCCGGCCAACUAUCACAUUUAAUUCUCAGAAUAACAAGUGAGAUAGAUAUAGUUAUCGCUAUUUUACAGAGAACACUGAAGUACAGAGGCUACAUUAAUAUCUCAAGGUCACAAGGCUCCGUGCUCAGGCUGGGAUUCCAACCCAGGCAGUCUGACCCAGAGCCUGCACGCUUGGUCAUGAAGCCCUCUCGCCUGAGUAUGCAAUGUGACCAGGAAAACCCUGGAGGAAACAUGUACACAACUUGUGUUUCCUUACUUUUAAGGGUAAGAGUGGAAAACAGAUAGUCCCCAUGGAGUAGAUUGUCCAAAAUACACAUCUGUCUUCUGGGAAAGAGGAGUGUGUGUGUGUGUGUGUGUGUGUGUGUGUGUGUCCAUAGGGGAUGUAACAGACAGAACCAAGAAGCAUGUAGGUGAAAAUAUUUAAUAGGGAUGAAUGUAAAUUCCUGUACCUGGGCACAGAAUCCCCAUUAUAUAAAAAUAGAAUAGAGAGUUAGGAUCAGAAAGCAUCAAUUUAGGGGCUUCACCUGACAGUAAGCUCAGGUUGAACACCAGUGUGGUGAGGCUUCCAGAAAAGCCCACCACAGGGCUGCAUCAACAGAAGGGAAGUGUCCCACACCAGGACAGAACCCUUAGACCAUUCGCGCUAGGUUGAGUUCCAGGCCCCUUGCUAUAAGAGGGACAGAGCCAGGCCGGAGAGGAUAAAGAGGAGAGCAACAGGGAUAGUGAUGGACAUCUGAGGAAGAGGUAAAACACCAGUUGAAAGAACCAGGCCAGACAUGGUGGCUCAUGCCUGUAAUCCCAGCACUCUGGGAGGCCAAGGCAGGUGGAUCACCUGAGGUCAGGAGUUUGAGACCAGCCUGGCUAACAUGGUGAAAUCCCGUCUCUACUGAAAAUACAAAAAUUAGUCAGGUGCAGUGGUGGGCACCUGUAAUCCCAGCUACUUGGAAGGCUGAGGCAGGAGAAUUGCUUGAACCCAGGAGACAGAGGUUGCAGUGAGCCAAGAUUGUGCCACUGCACUCCAGCGUGGGCAACGGAGAGACUCUGUCAUAAAAAAAAAGAAAAGAAAAAGAAAGAACCAGGUGACAUUGUGCAAGUUACACCAUACAUCACAACGUCAGUUUUCCUAUCUGCAAAAGGGGUUUAUUAGUAGGGACGGCAUAGAGAUUAAAUGAGGUAAUGCAUGUAAAGUGCUUAGCUGGGGGCUGGACAUAAUAAACGUUAGCUGCACCAGCCGUUAUUAAACCCUGAGCAUGCUCACCUCAGACAAGGGGUGCAUCAGGGACCUGGCUGGAGGAUCAAGCACAGGGAUCUCCAUGGCAUGGGUCCAGAGUCACAGCUC